rnacentral:rRNA from 1 species
GACGAACGCUGGCGGCGUGCCUAAUACAUGCAAGUCGAACGAGAGCGACCGGUGCUUGCACUGGUCAAUCUAGUGGCGAACGGGUGAGUAACACGUGGGUAACCUGCUCAUCAGAGGGGGAUAACAUCCGGAAACGGAUGCUAAAACCGCAUAGGUCUUCGAGCCGCAUGGCUUGAAGAGGAAAAGAGGCGCAAGCUUCUGCUGAUGGAUGGACCCGCGGUGCAUUAGCUAGUUGGUGAGGUAACGGCUCACCAAGGCCGUGAUGCAUAGCCGACCUGAGAGGGUGAUCGGCCACAUUGGGACUGAGACACGGCCCAAACUCCUACGGGAGGCAGCAGGAGGGAAUCUUCCGCAAUGGACGCAAGUCUGACGGAGCAACGCCGCGGGAGUGAAGAAGGUUUUCGGAUCGUAAAACUCUGUUGUUAGAGAAGAACAAGUGCUAGAGUAACUGUUAGCGCCUUGACGGUAUCUAACCAGAAAGCCACGGCUAACUACGU